rnacentral:rRNA from 1 species
UCCUGGCUCAGGAUGAACGCUGGUGGCGUGGAUAAGGCAUGCAAGUCGAGAGGGUUAGACCCUCGGCAAACGGGGUAGUAACAGGUAGGAACGUACCUUCAAGUUGGGCAUACACUGGAGAAAUUCAGAAUAAUUCCCAAGGAGUCGCUUCGGAGUAAAGAUUUAUCGCUUGAAGAUCGGCCUGCCUCGUAUCAGCUAGUUGGUAAGGUAAAGGCUUACCAAGGCAACGACGCGUAGGGGAGGUGAGAGCCUGACCCCCACCAUUGGCACUGCGACACGGGCCAAACACCUACGGGUGGCUGCAGUCGAGAAUCUUCCGCAAUGCAGGAAACUGUGACGGAGCGACGCCGCGUGGUGGACGAAGCACUUCGGUGUGUAAACACCUUUUAUAGGGGAGGAAGUUUAUUGACGUUACCCUAUGAAUAAGAGGCUCCUAAUUUCGUGCCAGCAGGAGCGGUAAUACGAAAGCCUCAAGCGUUAUCCGGAAUCACUGGGCGUAAAGCGUGCGUAGGCGGCUAUAUUAGUCGAAUGUUAAAGACCGAGGCUUAACUUCGGGACAGCAUUCGAAACGGUAUAGCUUGAGUGCGAGAGAGGUAUAUGGAACUCUCGGUGUAGGGGUGAAAUCCGUUGAUAUCGAGGGGAACACCAAAAGCGAAGGCAAUAUACUGGCUCGUCACUGACGCUGAGGCACGAAACCCUGGGUAGCGAAUGGGAUUAGAUACCCCAGUAGUCCAGGGCCUAAAUGAUGCAGACUAGCUUUUUGGAGUAUCGACCCUCUAAGAGGCGUAGCUAACGCGUUAAGUCUGCCGCCUGGGAAGUACGAGCGCAAGCUUAAAACUCAAAGGAAUAGACGGGGACUCGCACAAGCGGUGGAUCAUGUGGUUUAAUUCGACGAUAAGCGAAAAACCUCACCAAGACUAGACAUCCAGACGACGGUUUCCAGGGAUGGAUUCCUCCUUCGGGCGGCUGGACAGGUGAUGCAUGGCCGUCGUCAGCUCGUGGCUUGAGCUGUACUGUUAAGUCAGUUAACGAGCGAAACCCUCACCGUAUGUUAUAUGUGUCAUACGGGACUGCCUGUUUUUCAGGAGGAAGGUGAGGACGACGCCAGGUCAGCAUGUCCCUAGAUGUCUUGGGCUACACACGUGAUACAAUGGAGCGUACAACGGGUCGCGACGGGGUAACCCUGAGCCAAUCCUAUAAAACGUUCCCUAGUUCGGAUUGGGGUCUGCAACUCGACCCCAUGAAGUCGGAAUCGCUAGUAAUCGCGGAUCAGAAUGCCGCGGUGAUACGUUCUCGAGUCUUGUACUCACCGCCCGUCAAGUCAAGGGAGUCGGGAGCACCCGAAGUCUGCGCAUAGCGUGGCCGAAGGUAAGCUCGAUGACAGGGACUAAGUCGU